AGACAGUGGUAGGAGCUGGGCUGGGCUGGUGGGAGGCCAGAGGGAGUGUCCUCAGGAGGAAGAAGGAGCAGGUGGGGCUCCCAGGCUUUCAGCUCAGGGCUCCUGCGGCGGCACCCAGCCAACGGCAGCCAACAGCUCAGUGUGGACAACCAGGGGCACUCAUGGGAGUCUUGAGCUCAGAGAUACAGACCAGUGAUGUGUGUCCCUGAUAACUGGUAUCUUGAGAAGGGGUGUCCCCAGGAAUGUGUGAGGACUGGGAGGAGAAGCAGCCCGGAUGCACCUGUGCCAGCCCUGCCUCUUAGGAGGAGGGUCCUUGGAGGAGACCGAGCAGGAGCCACGGGGGAGGCAGGAGGGCACCCAGGAGAGUGGCAGCAGGGGACAAUCGGUCAAGGGCCAUUUCAGAAGGACAGAGGCGUCUCUAGAGUCCGUAUAGUUGAAGACAAGGCUUGAGUGUGAAUUUGGAUCCAGUGAGGACUGGCCAGUCUGCAGUGGCCUUGAGUGUGAGAGGCGGCACUGAAUUGGGGUCCCAGUGCAGAUGACCCCUCCCAUGCUUGGUUGAGGAGGGGUCAGGGGGACAGGCCAUGUCUGGUGGGGACCCGUGGAGAACUAUUUAACCAAGAAAACAGUGAGGAUGAAUCCAGGACAGGAGACAGAGGGAGCCAAGCCCCUGACUGGCUGAGGGCUGGGCCCAAAAGACAAGAUGGUGUGGGGUUGACUGUCUGCCUAGGGUUUGGCUAGGUGUGUAAGGCUCUAGAAGAAGCUGGUACAGUCAUCCACUCAUCGACAUUAACUGAUGGCUACUCUGUGCCAGACAGUGCCUAGAGGAGGAGAUUGAGUGCUGAAUACACUCCUUUACCCUAUUCCUGAGGAGACCAGAGUGUGGAGGCAGAGGGGACGUAAGACAGAGCCUGGUCUUCCCUCUCCUGGAGGACUCAAUGCUCUUGAGCAACCCUGCCUAUGACACUCCCCAUGGGCCCCAGGAGAGGCCAAGACGUUGUCAGGGAGAUGGAGAAACCAUUUCUUCACCUUCCACAGGAGGCUUCCCGCUCCCACUGCCCAGCAAUCCCGUGAGGCAACAGCAGGGGCUGAGGCAAGUCCAGCUCACAGCCGGGGAGGAGAUCAGGGAUGGGGCAGGUCAGGAAGACGCGUGGUUGGGCCAUUGCAUCAGGCCCAGGAGGGGCAUAAAGGAGGGUCCUGCGUGCUGGGAGGAGGCCGACUUGGGGACCAUGGAGACUCAGAGGGCCAGCCUCGCCCUGGGGCGGUGGUCACUGUGGCUACUGCUGCUGGGACUAGUGGUGCCCUCGGCCAGCGCCCAGACCCUCAGCUACAGGGAAGCUGUGCUUCAUGCUGUGGAUCGUCUCAACGAGCGGUCCUCAGAAGCUAAUCUCUACCGCCUCCUGGAGCUGGACCCACCUCCCAAGGCCGAUGGUGACCCGGACACCCCAAAGCCUGUAAGCUUCACAGUGAAGGAGACCGUGUGCCCCAGGACAUCGCAGCAGCCCCAGGAGAAUUGUGACUUUAAGGAGAAUGGGCUGGUGAAACAGUGUGUGGGGACAGUCACUCUGGACCAGGUCAAGGGCCAAAUGAACAUCACCUGUGAUGAGCUGCAGAGUGUUGGGAGAUUUAGGCGGCUGCGUCACAGGAUCGGAAGAGUUUUGCCGAAAAUUGGUCGGAUAGUUGGCCCACUAAUCGGGAUUUGGGGGUAAAUUGUGGGCCCAUGGAAGAAUCCUACAGGUGUCUGCCUUGGCUCAAGCUUCCGGACUCUGAAAACUAAAAUAUUCUGAAAGCAAAUUCCUCCAUUAUUUAAUUUCACUUGUCUCGUCUCCUCCCACUUACUGGGACCAAAUCCUUAACUACGGCAGGCCUCCUAUAUGUGCCUGUGUGUGUGUGUGUGUGUAUGUGUGUCUGUCUGUGAGAGUGUGUGUUUUUCUGUGUACGUACGUGAUUGCACAUGCAAAAUAGAGGAAUGGUUGUUUUUUCCAGAAGGGCAUGUUGUGAGGCAGCAGGGCCAAGAGGUCCAGGACAUCGUCUCCAUUCUCAGGUCCCUCCCAUGCCAUGGACCAGGCCAUGAACAUGCCUAAAUGAACACUGACAACAAAAAAAAUUGAAUAUAGGUAUAUUUUUAUUUUAAAAAAUUUUAUUGAAGUAUAGUUAAUUUACAAUGUUGGUUUUUUUUAAUUGAAUAUUUUUCAUCUCAGCCCUUGAGACGGGAGAUGUAAUUGGCCCCUGCUGGGAGGUCUGCAGGCCUUGUCAGUGCCUUCAAAAGUGAUUGACUGGUAAGAGGGUCUGCUCUUUGACCAUUAGACACCUCAGUCCUAAGGUUUAGGAAAUGCAAUGGUGCAGAGGCAGGAAAGCAAAGGGAGGAUUACAGACACCCAGUAACCAUGUGUAUUGCUAAUUAUUUUCUACAGUAAUCACCUUCUUUUCCUCCCUUGACUUGGGGAAAGGACACAGCUUGACCAAGAGGCCACUGGGGCAACACCUGGACUGUGAAACCAGGUUGCACAGAAGCCCACCUCUCCUUCCUUCUCCAAGGCUGAGUGCGCAACCAGCGCCAUCCUUCCCGGUUGCCACCUUCUGAGGUGCCCUGGCCAUGGCCCCAUGUGUCCCACAGGCCGGCUGAGUCCAGGAGCUACCCCAGGCCUCACAACCACAUGGUUAUUCCUCCAGAAAACUGUACAAGAAUCUCCUUCUUGGCCUGUGGCCCCUCUAUUGCUUUGGCCCAUGACCCUUCCGGCUGUGUUCUCACCAACUCCCACACUGACCCCCCAGCCUGGUGUCUCAUCCACAGCACUGGACAGGGAGCCACCUGGGGUCAAAUCAGAAGAGACUUCCUGAGGCUGUGGGAGCCAAGAGGAGGAGGUGCCAUUUCUGGAUGGAGGUCAGGGAAGCCUUCCCCAGGCGGAAGGGCAGGGCAAGCAGAGGGACCAGGCGCAGAGAUAGGGAAGAGCAGGGGCUCAGCGCUGUCUGAGUGGCUGCGGUGGAUGGGGCAGCCUGACACCUGAGGCCUGCAGGGCAGGGGCUGAGGACAGCAGGGAGCAUCAAGACCCAGACCCUGAUGCCCCUGCCUCAAGGCAGCGGGGGAAAUGGCCCAAUCAGUGCUUGGCCUGAGCCCCUAGACAAUGGUGUGGAGGGCGGACAGUGGUCUGGGGAGAGCCUGGAACCAGAGAAGGUGGAGUGUGGAGGCUGUGGCUACACUUGAGAGAAGACGGUGGUAGGAGCUGGGCUGGGCUGGUGGGAGGCCAGAGGGAGUGUCCUCAGGAGGAAGAAGGAGCAGGUGGGGCUCCCAGGCUUUCAGCUCAGGGCUCCUGCGGCGGCACCCAGCCAACGGCAGCCAACAGCUCAGUGCGGACAACCAGGGGCACUCAUGGGAGUCUUGAGCUCAGAGAUACAGACCAGUGAUGUGUGUCCCUGAUAACUGGUAUCUUGAGAAGGGGUGUCCCCAGGAAUGUGUGAGGACUGGGAGGAGAAGCAGCCCGGAUGCACCUGUGCCAGCCCUGCCUCUUAGGAGGAGGGUCCUUGGAGGAGACCGAGCAGGAGCCAUGGGGGAGGCAG